rnacentral:rRNA from 1 species
GAUUAACGCUGGCGGCGUGCAUAACACAUGCAAGUCGAACGAUGAAACUCAUUAGAUUUCUUUGGAAUGAAACUGAAUGGAUUAGUGGCGAACGGGUGAGUAACGCGUGAGUAACCUGCCUUACACAAGGGGAUAGCCUCUGGAAACGGAGAAUAAUACCCUAUGAAACCAGACAAUCGCAUGAUAAUCUGGUCAAAAUGUUUAGUGGUGUAAGAUGGACUUGCGUCUGAUUAGCUAGUUGGUGAGAUAAAAGCUCACCAAGGCAACGAUCAGUAGCCGGCUUGAGAGAGUGUACGGCCACAUUGGGACUGAGACACGGCCCAGACUCCUACGGGAGGCAGCAGUGGGGAAUUUUGCACAAUGGGGGAAACCCUGAUGCAGCGACGCCGCGUGAUUUAGAAGGCCUUCGGGUUGUAAAAAUCUUUUGUAUAGGAAGAAAAUGACAGUACUAUACGAAUAAGGUCCGGCUAAUUACGUG